GGCAGCAAAUGAAGAUGGAAGUACAAAAAUAUAGUUCAAACAGGAAGAUGAGAAACAUUGUCUGCGGCAUUCGAAAAGGGAAGAGGAAAGGCCUAUUGAGGAUGAAAUCGAAUCCAAUGAGAGGCCAUCCACUUCCAAAUCACAGCUUACCUCUGCAAGAUUCUCCCUGGAAUUAUAAUGAAACGCUCUACUUGGCAGUGUGAAAUCCAAUGUCAUUUUUUGCAUUCCUAUAGCUUCCAGUCAAAGAACUAUAUAAAAUCUAUCUCCAAAAGCAAAUACAAAAAGCAGACUUUGUAAUGGACAACCUUAGGCAAAAGAUGCAAAAAGAUGCUUUGGAGAUCCAAAUUUUGGAACAUAAGUUAAAGGUGGGUGAGGUGCAAU